rnacentral:rRNA from 1 species
UGGCUCAGAUUGAACGCUGGCGCAGGCUUAACACAUGCAAGUCGAGCGGAGAGAGAUAGCUUGCUACUGAUCUUAGCGGCGGACGGGUGAGUAAUACUUAGGAAUCUGGCUAUUAGUGGGGGACAACAUUUCGAAAGGGAUGCUAAUACCGCAUACGUCCUACGGGAGAAAGCAGGGGAUCUUCGGACCUUGCGCUAAUAGAUGAGCCUAAGUCGGAUUAGCUAGUUGGUGGGGUAAAGGCCUACCAAGGCGACGAUCUGUAGCGGGUCUGAGAGGAUGAUCCGCCACACUGGGACUGAGACACGGCCCAGACUCCUACGGGAGGCAGCAGUGGGGAAUAUUGGACAAUGGGGGGAACCCUGAUCCAGCCAUGCCGCGUGUGUGAAGAAGGCCUUAUGGUUGUAAAGCACUUUAAGCGAGGAGGAGGGUACUGGUAUUAAUACUACCAGGUACUGGACGUUACUCGCAGAAUAAGCACCGGCUAACUCUGUGCCAGCAGCCGCGGUAAUACAGAGGGUGCGAGCGUUAAUCGGAUUUACUGGGCGUAAAGCGUGCGUAGGCGGCUAAUUGAGUCGGAUGUGAAAUCCCCGAGCUUAACUUGGGAAUUGCAUUCGAUACUGGUUAGCUAGAGUGUGGGAGAGGAUGGUAGAAUUCCAGGUGUAGCGGUGAAAUGCGUAGAGAUCUGGAGGAAUACCGAUGGCGAAGGCAGCCAUCUGGCCUAACACUGACGAUGAGGUACGAAAGCAUGGGGAGCAAACAGGAUUAGAUACCCUGGUAGUCCAUGCCGUAAACGAUGUCUACUAACCGUUGGUCUCUUUGAGGGAUUA